AAUAACCUUCCCAUGGAUGUACUAAAACAAUCCUAAAUGUUUUUGUACAAAGGGGAGGUUAUUGGAACUCCCCAGUAACAUUUGAGCCGUCUGGGUUGUUUUUUCAAUGGCACAGAAGAAGGCCAUGUUAUGCUACUGGCUGCUGAUCAGCAUUUCAAAUUCAGCACAGGAAUACAUCAGCUUGAUUUAAAUAUUGUACACUAUGUCACUACAGAUGACAUUUUACAAAAACGAGUAUUUUUCAAACCUCCAGCGGUUUUGGUCAUACCUCUAAAUGAUUAUAUGUACAGGGCCGGCUGAUUUGUUCUGGAGUCAAUGCAUGAAUCCUCUGAGUGUUCAACAAGAAGCAGUCAGUGCAACAGUGAUUAAAUACAUGCCACAGAAUCAGAUGCUAUGUGUUGACUAUAAUACGCAAGGAGCUUUCCAAAUGUUCAGCCUCAAGUCACUGGAAUUGGAUUUUAGUGGUUUCGCUACAGGCUGUAAUCUUAACUUCGGUUCCUUGAUCGUGGGUUGAGUAUCUUUUAUGAUGACGUCAAAUGUAAACUGUUCUGGGGCAUGCAGUCGCUUAUUAUUCAAAAACUGUCUCAAGUUGGAUUUCAAGUUCUGAAUCAUCCACACCGAUUUUACAUUCAGGCAAUGAAAGCCGGACACACGCAUACCGAGAUCGUUGCACCUCACGCGGCUCAAAUGGCACAGGCUUUGUUGAAUGUUGGACUAGAGAACAAUUCGAGGUCUUUCCUGCAUCAAGGAUGAAGGAGCCAAUUUAAACUUUGUUGAGGAACGAGAAUGGCAGCAAAAAUGGAGCGACAGCUGCACUGUCAACGCUGAACUUACACUCAAAACUCAACGGACGUCAACGAAGGCUGCAGUUCAUUGCCCUAUCCUCGUCGCCAGCUGGAACAAUUCUACUGGAAUAGGAAAUCUGAGAUUGAGAGUCUCAGUUCCUCUGUCAAAGCAGCUGAAGUUCUUUUGAUAGACCAACUGGUCCCUGCGUCCGUCUUGGAGUUGUGGGCAGAAGAAAAAGGCACAACAAACCAACGGACAUUCAAAGUUAUCCACCUCCAUCACUGUAUGCUUUGCUAUCGGCUUAUUUAAGGCCAGACGUGGACGACGUUACGAAACAUCGUCUAGUUCAAUACUUCUUUAUGGAUUUGGCGUGGAUCUAUGGCCUUGAUUCUAGUAGCGAUGAGGCUGAAGGAGUUGACAAUAAAUCUGUUGGGAGAGAGGAGGAAGAAGAAUUGAAAGGAGAUUACGAUGAAGUUGAGGAGGAGGAGGCAACGGAAGAAGAGGAAGACCACUGAGUAGCUCAAGAAGAAAUUGAAGAAGUCCAGGUCUAAUUGGUUCACCGUAUGGUCCUGUAGCUGAGGAAGCUGCUGAUGUAGGGUCGGAAGACCAAGAGGGUUGCGAAAAAGUGGAUGAACGCGAGGCACAAGAAGAGGAGGAAGCUUUCGAAUUGAAACUUACAGAAACACCAAAGGCUAUUUCGACAGCUCGUCCUUCCUGUUUGCGUCGUUUCUCAAUGCCUUCACUGGCCGUUUCUGAAGGUGAUUCAGAAGAAGAAUCUCAUCAACGUGAAGAUGAAGUUAUUGAGCCUGAAAUGUCAUCGACUUCCGAAUCGCAGAAUCUUCAUUUCAAAGAUGUUGACGAAGAACAACCGAGACCAAAUGCCCAACGCAAUAGCGUCUUUAAGAGUGGACUUCACUUAACUGAUAGCGAAGCUUGUGGCAGUGACAGUGUCAUCGAAUCUGAAACGGGGCCGGGAAGAUGCGUCUGAAGAAAGCUCGGAUCAGGCUGGUCCGUCUCAACCAACUGAAGAAGGUGAAGAUGAAGAAGAGAAUCGAGAAUCAAAUGAAUCAACUCAUAAGACGAUUCAAUCAAAGCGAGUGGUUCGAAACAAAAGAAGAAAGAAAACGGAAAAAGCGGAAGAAUCACAGAAACAUAGGGGCAAGCUUUUGUUCACGAAGUGAAACGACCUCAAACUCGACGUGGAAGCUCAGAUACCAAUUCCUUUUGGGAAUAACAUCAGCAGGAAGCCAAUACCAGUCAAAGUGGUGCAGACGGUGGAAUAAUCAACUCAUCACCAAGACCAUUAACACGAAUGGCGAACGAGUAUGGAGUGCAAAAAUCAAGUGGAAUGGUGUCUGCUGGAUUUGCACAAAGGAUCUCUACCGUCAAUCGCCCUAGAUCUCGUGCUGGCACGGCUACAUCAGGAACCAAUGCUAUGAGAGCAGUCACAGCGUACAGUUAUCAAAGAGAGAACGAUGCCUAAGAUGAAGAUAAUGCUCUCAUGGAAGUGCAGCCAUUGCAAUACUAUUCUUAAAUACCAAAUGUUUUUGUAAGCUUUUCUUUUCAAACUGUAGGAUGAUAUAUGAUUCCCCACUCAAUCUACAGUUUCAGGUAUCAUAUCAUUUAACAGAAUGACUCAUCUAUAAUUAACACAGGAACGCAUUCAAGUGGAUCUUUAGCAAACAAAUACCUAGAAACCUGCUUCUAUGUUUUAUCUGGUGGCCGUUUUGUUUUCGUUUCAAUACGAUUGACUUCACGAUGGUAAAUGGAAGAAAAUGGGAUUCCAUAAAUGACACUUUAAAUGUUACUGACAUUAACUGUGUUUGUUUUUGCCUCUAAAACCACGACUGCCUUCGUCACAUACGAAAGAGUUUGGAGGGGAAAGGGUGCCUUACACUGACCAUAGAAACACCCACACGAUAGUAUCAAGCCUAAUUGUAGUGCUACGAAACGUACGGUUGUUGCAAACCAGUCUCGGACGAACCUAAUGAAAACCGAAUCAUUGAGGUUCAAUGAGAAUGAGUCCAACGUUCCAGUGCUCGACUGAACAUUGUGGAGGCGCAGCUCAGAAUACGCGAAGUUGAGCCCGGGAAUCAACGCAAAGCAGUUACGAGGUUAGAUAAUUUAAAGGACGUAAGACGUAGAUAGAUUUAUCUCACUUUUCCCUCUCGUUUUCGGGUGAAAAUGGCCGCUAUGUUAUAAAUCGUCUCAACAACAUUUAUCUUGCUAUGAGCACUCAAGAGGCCCACAUUGACGUCGGAUCAUUCAUAACUGAUAGUAACUGAGGCGACAUUGGCAUUGGCAAAACAUAAUGCUUUGUAAACUUCAACGAUCAACAGCUAUUUCCAAAAAAACCAAUUGAAAUCGUGUUUCAUAAGACACGUAUUAAAUGGUAGCCCUACGUGGUAUUAAAUGGUAGCCCUACGUGGUAGGACCAUCGAAGCUCUUCUCUAAAUCCAAAUUCUUUCCGAAAGUACAAGCAAUCUGUAGUAACCAAACAUUGAAUUUGUGAAAGAAAUCGAAAGAAAAGAGAAGCUGGAGAGGUUUAACGAUGAAAAUGUAAGGGUGCUUAGAAAACCUGUGGACUUUGUUCAAAUCACGUCCCAUCUAAAUGAAGUUAACAGUGUCUGCAACGAUGGUCCCCUAUUUUCAAUAACUACAAAUAGACGGCAUCUAAGAAUCAAGAAUGAAACGACAGUGAAGGAAUGAAAAAUGGAUAAUUUCUGAAUAAGGAAACCUGUCUACUUACACAGUACUAAAGUACUCAAACAGCAGGCAGGUAUUCAAAGUAUCAAAAAUGAUCAUUGUCAUCAAUUCUUCCUUCAGUCCGAUAGAACCUUCUGAAACCAAAUACAUUGGCUGUAACUUGGUGGCAUCAUGAUAACCGAAUGAAAUUGGGGGUGGGAGAGAGGUGACAAUGGCCAUAACGAUUAAAAAACUUUUCCGCUUUAACAGCAUACUUAUUUCUUAAGCAAUUAUACCAUUGUCGUCUCACCUCACCUACUAACGUUCAGUGUAUCAAAAUGCCGAUGUCCCGUAGCCAAUGCACAUCAGUCGCCAAAGUUACAAUCAAACAGAAAUGAAAAAUCUAUGCAAAUGACAAUGACUAUAAUGAGAUUAGGAAACUGCUUCCUUUGACAGCAAACAGGUUUCCUAAGCGUCAAAGAUGUUCAUUGUCGUAUGUCGCCAUUCACUUCCGUGCAGUAGAUCAUAAUGCUAUCAAUUUGCAGCCACCACAUCGAAUCAGAUCAAUUUUGCCCCUUCCUUCAAACGUUACGAAUUUAAACAAAACAAAAGCUCACAGAAUUAUCUAAGUAUCAAGCAUCAAGUUGUUAGAAGAACGACGUUUAAACAUCGUUUUGAGUCCUUUGAAGAAUUUCUUUCCUUUUUUUCCUCCCUGUGGCUCCAGAAACAUUUCCUUAGCGCCAGUCAGUGAUGCCAUCUUCUCCUCAAAAUCGAUAUUUUCUUUUUUGACAAUCACUUGCAGGGCUUUUUCUCUUUGCUUGACAGAUUCGGUUAGUUCCGCGUGCUCUGAUUCGGACGACGCAGAAGCAAGUUUUGUUUUCUGAUUGCUAAGGUCUUCUUCUGCUUCACGUAUAACUUUGCGUGACCUCUUGCUGUCUUUUUUAUAAAUAUUUUCAAGUUUAGAAAUAGUCUUCCUGAGUUUGUCGAUGCUGUUGGAUUUUUUUAGCACAAUGACUUCCGGUUCAGAUUUUUUCUCGGAGGCGACGUAGUCGACACGUUCGGCCUUUUUUGUCUGGCACUCUUUCAUUAUGUUCUUUAUUGUUUCUGACAUUCGCUGUUCGUAUUUUUCGCGAUUUUUUUUAUUCUUGUCUUUUUCUGUCUCGAUCCAUAACACCAAGUAAGUGAUGAGAACGUGCCUCAAGUCUAGGCGAGUUUUAUGUUCGGCAUCCGAGUCCGCAGAUUGUUGCCCGACAGGCGAAGAUGUCGUCUCGGCUAUUCCCGGAACUGGUUCUGUUGUCGGCGUUUGAGGAAGAGCUUCUGUUGUGUCUGUAAUUUUGAUCAAAUGCACAUUUUCUCGAUGUAAAUGGAGGUCGUAGAUGAGUCCACGACCGAGAAAAUUAGGCAUAGUCUUAUCUCCUGCACAGACGUAAAUUGGGUGUAAAAUCUUUUUGUCUUGUAAUUGAACAAUGGCGUAGAAAAAUCCAACGACCUCCUCCCGUUUUACGUGCUCUUUGUACUUCCCUGUACGCUUAGACGUGACCAAACCUGUCUCCCUUAAAGGCCUUAACUUAGGCUCACCUAAUAUUUGCCAUUGGUGUUGACUGAUGAUUGUCUCUAAACAACCUCUGUCGAUCACCAUAUCCACUUGAUGCCGGUUCAUUAUUACUUUCACGGAUGCCGUUUUGUUGGCAUCGCAUUCUCUGGGCGAGCCAUGUUUGACCAACAGCUCGUCCGCUCGUUUGAGGAAUUCUGGUAUCUUUUCCGGUAUCAAACCAGCUAGAGUGGCUUCUGAAGUGCGACGGAGGCCGAGUUUUCUUACUAGCUUCUUCUUUGGCCUAGGUCCAUCUGGUUUCUCUGCUUGGCAAACAGUACUAGAAGAAGUGUGCUGGGGUAAAGGAUGCGUCAUGUUACUUUCCUGUAACAAGUCGCUCCCGUUUUCAGGUGUGAGCUGUUCAGGUUGUUCUUCUCUGCUGGAAAAUCCUGUUGAUCCUGUGACGUAGCCGUAGAAAUCGAAAAGGAACUGGCCAAAAAUAAUGGAUGCCAUUACCAUGAAAAGUUUUAGCAGCCAUAUUUGUUUAAGAAGCUCGAGGAGAAGGGAUUCUAAGAACGUAAAGUUAUUCAUGAAGGUGAGAGCCAUUUUGGAUAU